GUGUCAGCAGCCGCGGUAAUACGAAGGGGGCUAGCGUUGCUCGGAAUCACUGGGCGUAAAGGGCGCGUAGGCGGCCGGCCAAGUCGGGGGUGAAAGCCUGUGGCUCAACCACAGAAUGGCCCUCGAUACUGGCUGGCUCGAGACCGGAAGAGGUUGGUGGAAUUGCGAGUGUAGAGGUGAAAUUCGUAGAUAUUCGCAAGAACACCGGUGGCGAAGGCGGCCAACUGGUCCGGAUCUGACGCUGAGGCGCGAAAGCGUGGGGAGCAAACAGGAUUAGAUACCCUGGUAGUCCACGCCGUAAACGAUGGAUGCCAGCCGUUGGCGCGCUUGCGCGUCAGUGGCGCAGCUAACGCUUUAAGCAUCCCGCCUGGGGAGUACGGUCGCAAGAUUAAA
rnacentral:rRNA from 1 species